AGGACGAACGCUGGCGGCGUGCUUAACACAUGCAAGUCGAGCGGUAAGGCCUCCUUCGGGGGGGUACACGAGCGGCGAACGGGUGAGUAACACGUGAGUAACCUGCCCUGGACUUUGGGAUAACCCUCGGAAACGGGGGCUAAUACCGGAUAUGACACGGUUUUGCAUGAGGCUGUGUGGAAAGUUUUUUCGGCUGGGGAUGGGCCCGCGGCCUAUCAGCUUGGUUGGUGGGGUGAUGGCCUACCGAAGGCGGUGACGGGUA
rnacentral:rRNA from 1 species